rnacentral:tRNA from 1 species
AUGCCUUUAGCUUAGUUGGUUAAAGCGGCUGGUUGAAGCCCAGCAGAGUCCGUUCGAUUCGGAGAGGCAUACCA